rnacentral:rRNA from 1 species
GACAGAGGGUGCAAACGUUGUUCGGAAUUACUGGGCGUAAAGCGCGUGUAGGUGGCGAGGCAAGUCGGGUGUGAAAGCCCUGGGCUCAACCCAGGAAGUGCACUCGAUACUGCCUAGCUAGAGUCCCGGAGAGGUUGGUGGAACUCUCGGUGUAGAGGUGAAAUUCGUAGAUAUUCGCAAGAACACCAGUGGCGAAGGCGGCUCACUGGCCCGGUACUGACGCUGAGGUGCGAAAGCGUGGGGAGCAAACAGG